rnacentral:rRNA from 1 species
CGGACGGGUGAGUAACGCGUGAGAAUUUGCCUUUAGGAGGGGGACAACAACUGGAAACGGCUGCUAAUACCCCAUAUGCUUUCGAGUGAAAUGGAUUUUUCCGCCUAGAGAGAAGCUUGCGGCUGAUUAGCUUGUUGGUGAGGUAAUGGCUCACCAAGGCGACGAUCAGUAUCUGGUUUGAGAGGAUGAUCAGACACACUGGAACUGAGACACGGUCCAGACUCCUACGGGAGGCAGCAGUGGGGAAUUUUCCGCAAUGGGCGAAAGCCUGACGGAGCAAUCUCGCGUGAGGGAUGACGGCCUAUGGGUUGUAAACCUCUUUUUUCAGGGAGGAACAAAAUGACGUGUACCUGAAGAAUAAGCAUCGGCUAACUCCGUGCCAGCAGCCGCGGUAAGACGGAGGAUGCAAGUGUUAUCCGGAAUCACUGGGCGUAAAGCGUCUGUAGGUGGUUUAAUAAGUCAACUGUUAAAUCUUGAAGCUCAACUUCAAGACCGCAGUCGAAACUAUUAGACUAGAGUAUAGUAGGGGUAAAGGGAAUUUCCAGUGGAGCGGUGAAAUGCGUAGAGAUUGGAAAGAACACCGAUGGCGAAGGCACUUUACUGGGCUAUUACUGACACUCAGAGACGAAAGCUAGGGUAGCAAAUGGGAUUAGAUACCCCAGUAGUC